GGAAAAACAGCACCAAGAAAGCCUCCAAGCUUCCGACAGACCCUGUGUGGCAGAAAUAUUAAAACCCAGCCUGAUAGACCACACUGGUGGACAGCGACUCCUGGCCGGGUCCCAGGUACCUUACAUAACAGAUUAACUGGGGGUCAUUGGCCCUGGAGCGGAGAACUGGGGGCGCUGCCACUGAUGUAAGGGCCGGGUGAGCAGGAGCCCUGACGCAGAGAGAGGGGCAUGCCCGGGGGGCGGGCCGCGGAGGGCGGGCGGCGGCUCACCUCGGUGGCGCGGCAGGUACACCUGGAGGUCGGGCUUGCGGGGCCGCGUGGGCGCGGGCGUGUGGCGCCUCCUCACCUUCUCCUUGGCCGCCUGCUUCACCUUCUUGUCGUAGUCGUCCCUGCGGGGAGCCGAGCGGGAGUCAGGCGCUGACACCCGGCCGAAUCGGGCCGGGCCGGGCCUGGGGCGGGGCGGUACCGAGCGAUCUGGUUCCGACGGAUGUGGUGUACGAAGCCGUGGCUCAUGUCCAGACGCCCGCCGGGCUUGCAGCACAACCCCGGGCCGUGAUCCCGGGCCGCCUCCAUUCGUAUCCUGGGUGCAGAACCGCCGUAACUGCCACAAGGGCCGCGGAAUUAGGGCCCUCGGCUGUGGACCAUGACUUCCGGCCACCGACCUCGGCUUCCGGCUCCAAUGCCCUUUUUCCGGUUGCGUAGGGGCGGGCGCAGCGGAGCGGAGAUGCUUUUCGAAAUUUGAGAACCUUGAUCUGUGGAGCGCUGGUAGAGCUGGAGGUUCGCUUACUUUGUGGUGUCGCCUGAACGAAAGAAGGAUUAUAUAGCUAAUACCAGGAAAUUAUUUUAAAAAAUUCGAGUCAUCCACGACUACUGAAAAUGCAUUCUAUUAGUCUAGAGAUGUUAGCUUUCUUUUUCUAGCCCUUUAGUAUAAUAAACUUCACUAUGAGAUCAAA
rnacentral:lncRNA from 1 species